rnacentral:rRNA from 1 species
CUUUCCUACGGGGGGCAGCAGUCGGGAAUAUUGCGCAAUGGAGGAAACUCUGACGCAGUGACGCCGCGUAUAGGAAGAAGGUUUUCGGAUUGUAAACUAUUGUCGUUAGGGAAGAUACAAGACAGUACCUAAGGAAGAAGCCCCGGCUAACUAUGUGCCAGCAGCCGCGGUAAUACAUAGGGGGCAAGCGUUAUCCGGAUUUAUUGGGUGUAAAGGGUGCGUAGACGGAGAAACAAGUUGGUUGUAUAAUCCCUCGGCUCAACUGAGGAACUGCAACCAAAACUAUUUCCCUUGAGUGUCGGAGG